rnacentral:rRNA from 1 species
UACGAAGGGGGCUAGCGUUGUUCGGAAUCACUGGGCGUAAAGGGCGCGUAGGCGGCCGCUCAAGUCGGGGGUGAAAGCCUGUGGCUUAACCACAGAAUUGCCUUCGAUACUGUUUGGCUUGAGACCGGAAGAGGUGAGUGGAACUGCGAGUGUAGAGGUGAAAUUCGUAGAUAUUCGCAAGAACACCAGUGGCGAAGGCGGCUCACUGGCCCGGUACUGACGCUGAGGCACGAAAGCGUGGGGAGCAAACAGG